ACGCACCUCGCAACUUCUGAGUGCAUCACGUGACAUUUAACGACAGGGAUCGACUCAGAACAUCACAGAAUGGCCGACAACAAAGCAACACGUUGAAUGUGUUUUAUUAACCGAUUUCUUUGCUUCAUAAGGGGAUUGACCAUGUAUUAAAACAAUUAUGCAGGAUUGACAACGCUUGAGGAUGAAGAAUUUCAACAAAUACAGGAUUUUCGUGGUUGUCGUCGACCGACAGAAUCCAAAAUGGCCUCCUGACUGUUCGACGCAUGCGUGUAGAAUAAUAUGCAAAUGAUCACUUUA